rnacentral:sRNA from 1 species
GGGUGUGAGGGCGACCUGGCUGUGAAGUCUGUCACCCCAUCAAUCACCAGGGCUGAUUCGGCUGAUCUGGCUGGCUGGGUAGGUGUCCCCUUCCUCCCUCACUGCUCCACAUGUGUCCCUCCUGAAGCUGCACACUUGGUCAAAGAGACAGCAAUCCCCGAGAGAAGAGGACCAGUCUUCAGUCAAGGGUAUACGAGUAGCUGCACUCCCCUGCUAGAACCUCGAAACAAGCUCUCAAAUUAUCUCUAAUUUCUCAAUUUUUCUUUCUUUUUUUUUUUUUUUG